rnacentral:rRNA from 1 species
AGGAAUCUGCCUGGUAGUGGGGGACAACGUUUCGAAAGGAACGCUAAUACCGCAUACGUCCUACGGGAGAAAGCAGGGGACCUUCGGGCCUUGCGCUAUCAGAUGAGCCUAGGUCGGAUUAGCUAGUUGGUGAGGUAAUGGCUCACCAAGGCGACGAUCCGUAACUGGUCUGAGAGGAUGAUCAGUCACACUGGAACUGAGACACGGUCCAGACUCCUACGGGAGGCAGCAGUGGGGAAUAUUGGACAAUGGGCGAAAGCCUGAUCCAGCCAUGCCGCGUGUGUGAAGAAGGUCUUCGGAUUGUAAAGCACUUUAAGUUGGGAGGAAGGGCAGUAAGUUAAUACCUUGCUGUUUUGACGUUAUUUUAUUGAAUAAGCACCGGCUAACUCUGUGCCAGCAGCCGCGGUAAUACAGAGGGUGCAAGCGUUAAUCGGAAUUACUGGGCGUAAAGCGCGCGUAGGUGGUUCGUUAAGUUGGAUGUGAAAGCCCCGGGCUCAACCUGGGAACUGCAUCCAAAACUGGCGAGCUAGAGUAUGGUA